ACAAGUACGGUGAUAAUCUUGAAGAUGAAUGGUUUUUUGUUUUUCUUCUCUUUCAAGUUUCAAGAAAAUUUUCUCAAUUAUCUAUUCAAGUUUGGGAUACUGAUGGAGAGUUUCUUCUAAUUGAAGCGGCGUUUCAUCUGCCCAAUUAGUUAAACCUUGAAACAAGCAAGAGUCGAGAUUUUACCAGAAGAGUUGCAGGGAACAUCAGCCGGCUCUAUUGUUUAGACGGUAACUAAUGCUGUGCUAUUUUUACGCUGGAUUGGUCAGCACAAGGUUCUCAUUGCCUUAUUCUUUUAUUUUGUAUGUUUUGCUCUUGUAAUUCUUAUCUAUGUUACAAGUUUUUUCUAUGUUCCAUCUAGAAUCAAUGAUGUGUUUUAUUACAGUAAUAUAUACCUACAGUUCAUUGUUUUUUUGUUUUAUGUAUUUUCAAUUAUUCACUAGAAGUGAAUCAAGAAGACAGUAUCUAUAAACUGUCUCAUUAGGUACUUGUCAAGCUAAACAUGAGAAGCAUCUGUUCAAGGGGGACCUUUUAGUCCAUAGCAACAGGUCCAUUUUCUCGCACACUACGGCAGCCGGUCGUGUACUCCUUUAUUUUUCGUUUAUGUUACGUCUUUUGUUGAGGUUAGAAUCGGGAAAAUGAAACGCUCAAGCUUUGUAGUAGCAGGUAUUCUACUCUCCCUUGUCACUACCAUAUUCUUUUUUUAGUUUCAUGGUUCAUCUGUUGGAAGAAAAGAAAAAAUUUAGCCACCCCAAACAUAAAUUCCUGGAUCUGUCGGGUUAGGGAACUAGAAUCGAUUCAAUUAGCGAUAAGGAAUAUAAUUUUAGAGUAUCCUAAUAGAGCUAGGUUGAAUAUGCUUCGAGUUAUGGUUCCUGUUAGCCAAGGUUUUGAAAUAUGAACCAUGUUUGAUUUCACUAGCGGUAGAGAGUUUCUAUGAUAGAGAUGUUGAUUCAAUGAAACACGCUGCUAAAAUAAAGAAAUUUGUAAGUGCCGGAACUAGUGAAGAGAUUUUUAGGUUUUUUAUUAGAAUGUCAAGGGCAAUGUAUGCACAAUUAGUUCAGCAAACUUUUCAAGCCCCCAAAUGUUAUUCAUUGUCGUCCAGGAACGAUAGUUCUGUUUAUGUUGAAGCUGAGCUGGGUAUGAAAAUAGCGUGUGGGUUUGAAAUGAUGUAUAAACAAAGACGCCAUGAAAAUUUGGAUGGCAAGGGAACUAGUACUUGGGAAGCUUUCAAAGAGAGCUUAGAGAUUAGUGGGUAUUUUAAACAACUACUUCCUGGAUCAAUUAUUGCUUUUCCCGGGCAAGGUAUUGUUGUUUUCAUAUAAACAAUUUCCACUUUGCAUAUUCUUUCAAUUCUUUUUGUGCUGUAAAUUGUGUUCAAUUGCUAGUAAUUUCCAUGCUCAUCAUGCAGGGUGUUUGAAUGUCUUUUUUCAGUGAAAUGAUGUAUUGACGAAAUCUUUGCUUUGCCCCACUCCUCUGAAGAAUUUAAGGGUCUUGAGCUUCCUCCUUCAGGUAAUGAUGCUUGUCUUUACUUUAGUGAAGAUGAGUUAAAAUUGGCCAUGGUAGAGAGAUAGAAAGAGUUGGAAGUCAAUGAAUUAAAGCAAAAAUAUAGUCAAAAGGCAAAUACAAAGAAGGAUGCGGAUCAUUCUGCUGAAAGUGCCGCAAAUGAUUCUGAUCUUGGUGAUAUCGUGAAUUCAUUGACAAGGAUAUUGGCGUGUCCUUUAGCUUUAGGUGUUAAGCCUAAUUAUUAGUAGUUUUUAGACUGGUUGGAGCAACUUUCAGCUGAAGGGGUGAAAUUGUUUCUCUACUGUAAAUUGUUUUUCUACUGUAAACAUAGUAAUCGAUGUAAAUGUUUACAUGUAAUAUAUAUAUAUAUAUAUAUAAAUUUAUUUUG